rnacentral:rRNA from 1 species
UUUAAAGAGAGUUUGAUCCUGGCUCAGGACGAACGCUGGCGGCGUGCCUAAUACAUGCAAGUCGAACGAACGGAGGAAGAGCUUGCUCUUCCAAUGUUAGUGGCGGACGGGUGAGUAACACGUGGGCAACCUGCCUGUAAGUUGGGGAUAACUCCGGGAAACCGGGGCUAAUACCGAAUGAUAAA